AAAUUGAAGAGUUUGAUCAUGGCUCAGAUUGAACGCUGGCGGCAGGCCUAACACAUGCAAGUCGAACGGUAACAGGAAGAAG
rnacentral:rRNA from 3 species